UAGUUUUGUUCUUUAAACCUAAAGAAUUUGGCGGUGUUUUAUUCUAUUCAGAGGAAUCUGUCUCAUUAUCGAUAAUCCUCGUUUUAUCUUUCUUUUUCUUGUUUAGUAUGUAUAUCGCCGUUAUAAGUUGAUUUUUUUAGAAUAUUAACUUUUAGAUUAAUUUGUCUAUAUUUCAGGUCAAGGUGCAGCUUAUGAUUAAGUGUUGAUGGAUUACAAUAUUAUUUAAUAUUACGAAUAUAAUUUUUAUAAUUUUAUUGAAGGUGGAUUUGAUAGUAAUUUUGAUUAUAGUGUUAAUUUGAUUAUUAGUUCUAAAAUGAGUACACAUCGCCCGUCGCUCUA
rnacentral:rRNA from 1 species